CCCCAUCACUGAAAUGGAACAUCUCUUUGUCUCUUACAGCUUUCAGCAAGACUUUUAUUGAAGAGACAUGGAGGAGAGGAAAAAUGCAGACAAGGUGCUUUCUAGCAUUUCAUAUCAAGAGCUGCAGCCAACAAGAUCACAAAUGCCUCAGAUGGCAAAGAGAAAGGGAUUCAGUUUCACCUGGACUCCUUAUUUCCACUAAAAACCUCCCCUUUAUCUGCAGCACUGUAAGAUCCAUCAGCUGCUUCAUUCAGGCCUACUAAAAAUUAAGUCUCUUUAUAUGUGGAGAAUAGUGAAAGAAAGUGAAGCUAGGAGUUCUUGACACUGUUUUCUGCUAUACUUAGAACUGCAUGUGAAAUACCAGCCACCUUCUUCACCUUCUUCACAAAAGUAGCAGAAAAGACUUUUCAAUAUGGUUUGUAACAACAUUCUCUCUUGUAAUACAUCAGUCACAUCAACAGCAAAAUGGGAAAAAAAAAUCACGGAAAAAAUAUAUGAGAGGAUGGGCAUCCUAAACCUGAUCAGUGAUGAUGUGGGGGAGAUACGUCUCUUUUAUGUCGUCUUUUUUCAAAACUGGAAUUAUUUUGCAAAUUGACCACUCUCUUAUAUAAUGAUUCUGAUUUUCAGAAGACAAUUUUUGGACAGAACUUUAUAAUUUCUAUAAGACAUAUACUGAAUAGAUGUUAGGAUAACUAGAUCAUUUGAACAACUGGGAUCCUUCUUUAACAGAAUUUCCUUGAUUUAAAUUUCUGCUUCAUGUAGUAUGUGAAAGGAAGCUGCAUAUUCAGAAAAUUGAGUGGCAAGGCCUGCUUAAAAGACUGGCUGUUGUGCCUAUUACUGACAGUGAAAGCUGAAAUUUCUGUUGUAUUUCAGUUAUAUUUUGGUGAUAGGAGCAUUUAAAAUUAGCUUUAAAUGUAUUGGAAAUAAGUCUAGCUCUUAUUUUGAGAAGGACUUUUUGGCUUCUCCUGUCUAUUCUCUCCUCCUAACUCUAUACAGGCCAUGUCUCUCAAGGCACUGGAAACAACAGAUUAGCACAUUUUUCAUGAGGAACUAUUGAACUUCUGCUCAUUAACUGUGUUUCUUCAACUCUCCUGCCUGACACCACACAGAGUGCCAGGCUGUGGCUGGGCUGACAAGGCUUUGUUGUGUCUCAUUCUAAUAAAAAGCACAAUCAGCUGGUGCAGUGAAAAAAAUAUUGGUUUAUCAGAGAUAAAGAAAACAAAUUAUUCACAGGGAAAUGAUCCAUAAUUGCUUGUGAUUGAAGUCUUUAAGAAUUACUUGUAGGAGAAGAAAGGAAUUGCAUAAUAAAUUUAACUCCUUGGUUUGUUCUCAGAACAUGAGUGAAUUGGGGCAAAACUUUCCUAUGAGCCAAAACACAGAAAUGCUGAUCAUGCUCUUCAGCAGGCCUCUUAAAUGUGCUUUUACUGAAUUGAAUGCUACCACCAAUUCAUUUUGUAAUGGAAGAAAAAGAAGGUGGCAACCUUGUGAAAGUAUCCUUUUAUCAGACAAGACAGAAGGCAGAAAAUGAAUUGGAAAAAUUCUUUUGAGACCUCUCUCCUCACCAGUCCAAAAAAUGAAUACAAAUCUAAUGGUAUUGUUUGAAGAAUGAAAAAAUAUGGGCACAAGAAAGUACUCUCAGUUUACCAGAACGAGGCCUGUCACAGAGACCAUCACUGCGUCCUUCUCCACAUCCCUUUCCAAUACAUUUUGGUAGUUGCUGUACUCUGGUACCAACCAUCCAUGCUUCACCACAGGGGAGUCUGCAGUUCUGUUUUGGCUGAGGAAUUCAUGGGUUGCAGGGAUAAGAGACCAAAGGACAGCAGAAAAUGGCAAAAAGGCAAGAUAAAUCUUGUGGUACCCUCUGAUCUCCAUGGUCUGUCUGCCAGCAGUUACCCCAUGCAGAGUGCAGAUGCACACACAUAAAUACACACUGCCAGCCUCCCUCUUCCCUGCAGUUGACUUUGCCAUGCCACCUGUGCUCAUACCACAGGAAGAUAUUCCUUAUUCCUAGGCUUGCUAGAAGGAGGGGAAUGAGGGAUGGAAAAGGAGGUUGCUGCCUGGAUGCAGGGCCUGAGGGGUUCUGUCAGGCACCUUCCCCCCAAUGACUGUCUCACUGUGCCCACCACAGGUCAGGGGAGACUGCUGGUCACAGACUAAUAUCAGUAAUUGCACAGGAUAUGUCACUUUGUGUGUCUGAUGGACAACUGCCAUGGUAAUUGCUUAUCCCCAUACUGUGUACACAGUGACUGAUAGAUUUCUCAUGAGCAAUCAAGACUCUGGACAGAGAAGGAUUAGAGACAAAAAUUCAUAUAUAUUUCAACAUACAGUUGCCGAUGUAAAAGGCUGAUGCCUAGUUGUUCUAGGUGCCAGAAUAGAUUAUUAUGGUCACAGGGCUGAGGUUAUAUCGAGUUUGUAUUCUAACGUCCCAGUUUUAAUGUCUAAUAACGUUCAGACACUUUUCUCUGAUCCAGAAAGGGUUUCUGUCCAAACAUAACUUUAUUUGUAAACUUUGAAAAAUAAUGGUUCUUGGGGUUUUUUUCCCAUCCCAAAAAUUAUUCAGGUCUGUACUUUGAUCAUGGGCUGCUGAAAACAGGAUUUGAAUCAGACUAAAUCCGCCUGCUUGCUGUCAGGGCAUGCCCAAGGAGAGGCAUCAGCAAGUCUUCUGUUAAAACUGGAUCCAACCUAUAUAUAUCAGGACUUAUCUUCUGUACAGUAACAGUGUAGGACAAAAAAUAUCUCUGCCAGAGAAAGUGAAAGAAGUGAGCUCAGUGUGAGAAUAAACAAGGAAUGUGGGUGAAGAAGGAAAGUGUGGUGUGCUGUACCUGGGAAUUCUGAGAGAGAUAGUGAAGGAGGACAAAAGGAUGAACUUGAAUGUCACAGACAGAGCAACGGGAAUUAUCCCAGAAUAUGAACAGAUUCUCUUAACCAGGAGGUGAUAUCUGCUCUGGCUAGCCCAAAUCCAUGUGCCUGUGGAAUGGUCUUGCAGGUGCUUCCUCUGCUUGGGGUUUUGUUCACCUUCACCCGGGGAAAAGAGAAUUGAAGUUCUUCUUUCUAAGACUCUUCACCGGGCCAGUUCUUUUGGACUCCUGCAUGACCUCGAGUAUGUUCACUCCUAGAGCAGCUCAACUGUCACAAACAAACAGCACCAAAAUACUUUGAAGGAAGUCUGCAGAUGUUUUCCAAGGAGCGUGAUACUCUGUCCACAGGGGAAACAACCUCAAGGUUUUAUCUAGAACCCUAAUGGUUUAGCUAAAACACUUCUUCUGGGAGAGAAUACAGGACUCGUGGAAGAUUGAGGUUUAAAGCUGUUUCAAGCAAAAGAAAAUUACAGAAGUUGUUUAGUUCUAUACAUGUAAGAUGCGUAUUCUUUUUACAAUUUUGUUGGUUUACUGGGAUUUAUUCAACAUUGAUAGAGAGAUAAGCAUUAUUAUUUUUCACUGCUGUUUCAUUUUUAUAACCUGAUCUGUCCUCCAUGAACAGCAUGAAAACUGUACUAGAUACAGCCAAGAAUUUUCAUAGAUAUAUUUACCAAUGAAAGUAUAAUUUUUUUGCUGUAAAUGACCUUCAGGUCAAAUAGAUAAAUAGAUAUUUUAGAACAGUGAAAAGAUAGAAAAUAAUUAUUUUCUUCUUUUUCUCUUUGCCCAGCUAUGGUAAGUCCAAAGGAUGAUCUACAUCUCCUCAUAUUGAUGAGUGUUUUAGUAUUUUAACUAGUGGAAUAGAGAAAUAUUUAUGUUUCCUGGUCUGUUUUAAUGCAUGAGAAAACUUUAUAUGGUUAAUAUUAGUAUGGAAAACUUUAUAUGGUUAGUAUUUAUCCUAGAUAUCUCUUGAAUGUAAAAGUAUGGCCUCUGCAUCUUCAGUUUUGUUGUGUUGUGGAUUUCUAUACCUGCUCCUUGUGGAACACAAGCACAUUUUCAUGGUUUCAGAGAGGACUGGAAAUUAUAUAGAACCAUCUGAUAACCUAAUCAUUCUCUUAUAAAUCAUCAGGUUAGGCUUUACUUUACAUAUUUCAUUAGUAUCCCUUCAAAGAGCAGGAGAGAUUUUUUGGCAAGACUCAAGCAGUUUCAUCAUUAGAGAUCUCUUAGAACUUGCUAGACAAACAUCUAUUUCAAGCGUCAUAAAACAAAUUAAUCUUACUUUUGGACAGAGUGAUAAAUUAGAUAGCCCCUAGCACCACUUUCUGUCCCAUGAUUAGAUCAUGUUUCCUGAAAAAGAGCAUAUAAUAUGAUUUCUGGUUCUGAAUCAGGCUGGAGAUUGACCCUGUUGACCAGAUGGUCACUUCUCAGCAGAUUUGCAGGGUGUGUGGAAAAGGAAAAGAAAGUCAAGGGUGGGUUUAUAGGUGGAUGUUGAAUAAAACCGUAUGGAAAAUAUAAUGAGCAGCAGGAGAGUGUAAGACAUUCCAUCAUCUGAGAAUCCAAGAAUUAACUCUUUAGCCUAGCAUGUAGCCUGAGAUAGCUCACAGAGAUUAAAAAAUAGUGAAAGGAUAAAUUUUAGCUGCUGUUUUGGAGUAGGAUGAAAGAAAUUUUAAGUGUACAGAAAUAUAAUUUUGGCCAUUCUUGUCAGCAGUUUGAGGAGCAAUAAAGGCACAUGACAUUUAUCAUAGUGUUAAAGUCUUAGAAAUAAAAAAUAACAAUUAUCAGAAAAGAUCCGGAAAAUAUGUUAGAACAUUUGUUUUUCACCCCUUCUCUCUCAGCCUGUGAAAGCUGAGAAAUCUAACAGUUUAGAAGUUCAAAAUCCUUUGUAUGCAGUAGAAAUUACUGUCUGUGCUACAACAGCAUCUGGAGACUCUUAAAAGAGUUUUGGCCUUUUGUAUGCAAAUACAUACCCAGUAUGCACAGAAGCAAUGCAUUUCCCACAGAGUUCAAAUCCCUGUCACAAAAGAUAGGAAUGACAUUCCUAGUUUAUGUGGGACAUGGUUCAUUUUUUGUUUGUUUGUUUGUUUUCUUUGUUUGAUUUUGUUGUUGUUUGUUUUGAUGUUAAAAUUGUGGUAAAAAUGCAGGGCAAGAGUAUAUACAUUGCUUGCAAAUCACCCAGGAAGCCUAUGGUACAUAUUAGAACCGAGCCUAUCACUGCCAAACAUCCCUCUGCAAGCAUAUAAUGAUUUCAGUUUUAAGCAGACAGUAAUUUUACAAUCAGAUCUAAAAGCUGCAAGACAUCACUUGAAGGGAUCCAAUGGCUGGCCCAUGACAUCUGCUGAUAAACUAUGUAGGAGCCACAAGAAGAGGUUGCAAUAUAUUUGUAGGUAUGUUUGCAUAGCCAGUAGUGUGCAUCUGCAAUGGAGGUACUGUUUAUGCAAGGAGUGCCUUUCUAGGACAUGUGUCAGAAUAGUAUCAGCAAUGCAAUUUGUCAAUGCGAAAACCUGAGUAAUUGAAGUAGAAGGCUAUGAGAGAGAGGAAAAAAAAUCACUUCUCAUGAUGCCUUAGAAGAUAUAGAGGAGAUUUCUGUAUCAAAUGCCUGAAGCAUAAUCUCUAGACACUUCAGAAUAUUGAAGGAACUGCAUUCCCUCCUUGAGAAGCUUGUUGGAUGAAAAUGGAAAUCUGCUACUGCAUUUUAGAAGGUAAUUAUUGAAGUGAAAACUUUAUCAGAUUAUAUUCUGAGCACUUGGCCAUCUCACAUGAAUCCAUAAUUUGUUGUUCUACAGGGUCACAGAUCACCAUGAUAUCAACAAGUCCCAGAAGACUUAGCUUCGUUGACAAAACUGGGAACAAUAUUAAGUGACCAAAAUAAAAGAAACACCACUUGGAGAUCAGGGAAAAGAAACAAAACUGAGAUGUUUCCUGUAGUCACACAGUGUAUAACAAAUACUGCAUGUAGUCAAAUCAAAAUGAUCUGUUUGGUGAAAACAGGAAGAGACCCAUAUGAAGUAGCCAGAAUAGGAUGAGGUUUGAGCUAAAUAAAUAUAUAUUAAACAUUUUUCACUUCCAUUCAGUGUUAGAAAUAUCAAAACACAAAAUCCACAAUAUAUGCUAAGUUUGUGGAUAAAAAAAUAAAAGGAAAUUAAAAAAUUAUAUGUGGAGCUUUCAGCUAUGUUCAGGGCAUAUCUCCCUAAAUUGUAAUAGAAAUGUUUUACUAUCCAUUGUCUAACUUGUAAAAUAUUCUAUUUGGAAAUAAAUGAUAUAAACUCCACAUAGGAAGGUUUCUUUUUAAGAAAUCUGUAUGAUCACUACUUUUUUUAUUAUGACACUGAUUUAUUAGAAAGUGACUUCAGUUCUUUAACAUUAUUUAUCUAAGGAAAUUAACACAAAGAAUAUAAUUUCAAGAAAUCUUUACCUGAAGGAAAGAAGUUGCUAGAAUUGAAUAAACUUACAGGAGAUUAUUUGCUAUAAUACUUAACAGGUUUUUUAAAUACUUAUGCAUUAUAGCACUUCCAUAGAUAGGUUAGCUAAAUCUUUGGCAAAAUAUAUUUAGGUUUGCUCUACAGGCCAUGCUCCUGACUGUUGCCAGGCACAGAUAGCUGUGGAAACUGAAGUAAUGGAUUUGUUCACUGCUCAAGGAUAGGGUUCCUGAAGCAGAUCUGACCUGGACCAAAGCAUGGGUCUAUUUAUAUCUUUAUGCCUACUGGGUUCCCUGUUGAGCAUUCCUGACUUGCUGCCAAUCCAUGGGUUACAUUUUCCAGACAGUCUCUUCAGUGACUGAGACCUUCCCUACUGCCCUGUCAGUUAUGGUAUGGUGAGAAUCAGAUUACGCAAACAUGGCAGAAAGAUGGAGUGCAGUAGAGAGGAGGGUGGAAACAUUGGCUGUGGAAGGGACACCAUCUGUCCAACUGGAGGAACUCAGGUUUAGCUGGAGGAGCUCUGGCUUUUUCUUUUUUUUUUUUUUUUUUUUUUUUUUUUGGCUGGCUGACAUGACAGACAAGGUUUGUGAAGAACAAUAAAACUCAUUUUUAUAGUUAGAGCACAGUGUCUUCACUCUUCUGGGCCAGUGGGAAAACAAUCCCCUGAAUGAGCCUACUUGCAACUAUUCACUUAGCAGAGGUAUUCCUGUCCACUACUGCUUGCCACCAAAGGCUUCUUUUGGAUAAACUCUACACUGGUGUUUAACCAAGGUAAACAGAAAGGAGACUUGGAAGUCCUACUCAUAGUUGUAUCUGAGUAGAAACCCUGAACCAAGAGCCAAACAUGCAAAAAAAUGUUAUUUCAUUGCACAUUGGAAUAUUUUUCAGCUACUCUUACCUAUGCUGAAGGUUAAGGAGAGGGAAUGUGACAGAAUAAAAGCAAAAAACCUGUAAUGUAGUGACUAGAGUGCCUAGUCUGUAGGCACCUGUCUCCUGAAAGAGGACAGAAGCAGGGGAUUUGGUACCUCACCUUCAUGUGCAGUGUGUGCAGGGGGUUGUAAGCUUUGCCAUGAAAACUUUCAUUGCAACUGAGGGACACCUUGGGCUACUCAGCAGAGAAGCACCAAGCUGACAAAUGAGACUGAGCAAACUCUGGUUCUCACACAGGUAGAGAAGCAAGGAGAGUUUUGUCUCCUUGAUGCCAUCAUCUCCUUGAUGUCUCCUUGAGACAGAACCUUCCUUCCCUAAGAGAAAGCUGAGACUUAUCCUCCGGUGAAGGGAGUGCAGUCUGCUCUGAGCAGGGGAGCUGCAUUGCUGUGCAAUAACGGUGUGCAAUUAUGUAAGAAAGAAAUAUCUCAGAGGGACAGAAAAAUAAAAGGAAGAAAGAAAAUAGAGAAGUGAGUAGGCUUGGCCCGCUGAGUGGAGAGCACUGGGCAUGCCAGGACAUCCUCUCAGGGCCACUAGGAUGUUUGUGGAGAAGAAAGCAUUUCACUUUUCAUAUCCUAACUGUAUUAAACAGUGGAGGGAGCAUGAGAUUGCUUGCAUGGGUUUUCUGACUCUGUCCCAAGGGGCUAAAAGUUGGGUACUCAUCCACAUCCAAAACCAAGAAAAUUUCUCAGAAUGAAACUUUCAUUUAAAAGUUUGACUUCCAGGACACUCUCUGAGGAAUGAGAAAUUUUUAUUGCAUUUUCUUUGAUUCAAAAUUGUAUUUCCCAUCUCAAAGGUAACUUUCCUGAACACUGAAGUGUGAGUGGGAAGAGAAAUCUUUCACAUUCUUAGCUGAAACAUUCAGAUGAGUGAAAAUGAAUCAAAGUUUACUGGGGGGAAUAAAGGAGACAAAGAGGUAGAGCAUGAUUUGAGCACCCAGGUUCAGGGUCCUUAGGAGAAGUCCUGGGCCACAAUAUUCUGUGUCAAAGAGCAGUUGCGUGUUUUAUACUAAAGAAAAACUGUCCAAGCAACAGAGACACCAAAACUCUAAGUUUUUUUAUCCUAAACUGAUGUCCUAACAUUGUACUAGAAUAUUUCUUUGUCCUAUUGUCUUCUCUUCUUUUGAUUCAGCAAUCCCCUUUAUAGAGCGACACAGCUUGGAUGGAGAGAAAGGGAGAGAGGAUGUGGAGUGAAGGGUCUGUGUCAAAGACUAUAACUUGCCCUUUGCAUCAGGCUGUGCUCCCACAGUUGAGACAUUAUCCUCAGAUCCAUCUUUCCUGGAUCUGAAGAUUGAAUUGAACUGCAGGUUCUUCUGCCUGGGUGAAAACCUCCUAGAGUGAAUCUAUUAAAAAAAAAAAAAAAAGUGCAUUUGUUCUCCUGUGUCUUUUGCAAGAAAAAGUGCUUUCUACUACUUCUUGGAAGGAAUUGUUUCCUGUUAGAUUGUUUUAGAAACACUCCAGCCAAGCCUCCCAGAAUAGAUGUCACAUUAAACAGUGAAUAUUAAGAAGAAGAAGAAUGCUAAGUAGAGGAAGGCCCAGUUUCUGAAUCUAAACAGGGCUUAGACAUGAGUGGCAGAGACCUGGCCUAAAGCCUGGUGAUGGUUAACACCCACACAAAUUUUAUUCUCUUCCCUCUUCACUUCUCAAAGUAGAAUGUACCCAGUAACAUAUUAUAACUUCUUAAUAAUUUCCAAAUGCUUGGAUUCUUUGCUCUGUUUUCAUGUUUAGAUACCUUCUAUUGAACUUUUGUAUUCACUUCUGCCUCUAGUUUGUUCUUUUUCAGUUGUCCCUAGCAUACAGCUGAGACUCAGUUUCCUGACUGCCUGCUCAGAAGAAAGGUGAGUCUUUGACUUUGGCUGCUCUUAACAUCACCCUGGCCUGAUUUCUCCCAAAAGGCCCAGGGUUAGGCCAUGUGUAAGUAGGGAUUGCUGGAAUUGCAAUUGUGGGUGCAAGUGCCUAAAUGCUUCUAAAAGCCCCUACUCAGCACUGUAAGGUUGAAAUCAAUAAAGUAAAGCCAGGAGGUUCUGAGGCAGAUAUGAAAAUUUUGAGGUAAGGAGUUUAAAUAAGUGCCUACUGGUGUUUCCUUUUCAUGAUGGGAUAGUAAUUCAUUCAUGCUGGAAGCCUUUGUACAGGGACUGUAUGAAGUCUUUAAUUAAAGUUGAUUAAAAUGGUAAUUUUGAACCCUGAUAGUUUAGAAUUUUUUCUCUCCUUGCUCCACAUCUGAAAACCUUUAAACUACUUCAGUGAACUGCAACCUAAGUAAUCCUGCUCCUAUUUUUAGGGACAUAAGCCCCGGCUUCAGCAGGGCCAUGGCAGUUGGAAUAAGAAGAUUUUCCAAAUGUGGAGGAUUAGCCUUUGCAGCAGUUGUAUGACAAAGCAAUAUAGUUGCCAGUGAUAACAAGGAGGAGGAAAGAAUUUAUAAUUUAUUACAUAUUCAUAUUUGCCUUUUUUAACACAGCAAUCUGUGAAAAUGCAUCCAAAAUAAUUCCAUGGUUUUUGUUUGUUUUGUUUUUGUUUGUGUGUUUUUUAAUUACUCAGAGCUUUCAGUUCCACAAAUGUCUCACCUCACUGCAGAGCAGAAUAGAUGAGUACUGAAUGCCAGCUCUGUCCUGGAAUUGAGAACACUAAGCAUCACAGUUUGUGUCCUGUCUAAUCCUCUGGUGUGGAGCUAACCUGCUGAGACCUAAAAGCUCCUCUCUUCCUGGUACUGAUCUUUGUAAUCAUGAGGAAAGCAGCUAAUUAAAUACACAGAUGAAGGGACAUUUUAUUAUUCAGCUCUUGGAUAUCUAUACUAGCUUUACUCUUCCUGUAAAAUCCAUGCUCCAGCUGAGCAAGUGAACUAGUGCCCUUAAAUUUUAUGGCAUCAAUCCUCCACUGGUGAACAUGCAAGAUGGCAAAGGAGAUAAAUUACUGAAACAGCAAACCAGCAGAGGAUAGUGCAGAAGGCCAAGAAGUAAACUUGUCAUUAAAGCAAAAAACUCGCAACUUUCUCCCUUACACGCCUCAAAAAAACCACCCAAAACUCAAAGCUCUGUUAUAGUCCAUCCAGUGAAACAGACAGGGUUUCAGAACUAGAGUAGAUAACACAAGGUAAGAAAUGUGGAGCUUUGUAUUUUCACAGAUUUGGGAUAAAUCUCCCUUUUCCGUUGCAGAAAUUUUCAAUGUAAAAAGAUGACAACAGAGAUAUCACCUAUUCUUGGUUACCUGAAUUUAAAUGUUCAUCUGGUCCUGCAUACAUUGCCUUGAGGUUCACACUCUGUAGACUUUUCAGAGAUCUCCCUUUAUUGACACAAACAUCCACAAAACUUUAGACCCAUGUAUAAGUGUUUACAGCUCCUAGGGAAUUCAUUUCUCUUUAUGUCACCUUGUGGCAUGAAGAAGCUAUCAGUUCCUGAGAGAAUACCCCGUUGUGCACAUACUGCAAGCUGCUGGAAUAAUUUUGUGCCAUUUGCCCUUCUUUUGGUGCCUUAGGUCUCACAGCAAGAUGUUGAGGUCAGCAGGAAAACAGGAGAGUCUUAAACCCCUGAAGGCUUCUUUAAAGUAUGAUAAUAGGUGGUGGGUAGGUGAAACAGCCAAUCAGAAACUCCAGUAAAGGAAGUCCCAGGAAUCCUUCCUUUUCCACACCAGUGCUUGCUGCAGGGUGGUGUAAAAGCACAGCAAAAAGGCAAUGUUCCAGAUGCUGUGUUUACUCCUAUGGAGAGUCUCAUGCAUUUUUCUGGACAAAAAGAUACUUUGUGUUUUCAACCAAAUAAAACCAGUAAACACAUGUGUGUCUUCCUUAGUGAGUUUAACUGGUACUUAUUAUGAACAAUUCUGAUUUUUAAUCUAUUUCACUGGGUCUGGACGUUAGUAAGGUUUUGAUCCUCUGAUACAGACCCAUGGUCAAAGUCACAAAGGCAUCUUUGGUGCUGAGAGAUGCACCUAGUAGGAUUUGUAAAGCACCUAAAUGAUGCAGACACCAAAUUUUAAUUGCUUGGGCAGAAUCCUAAAAGAGACAUCUCCACUAGAUGACAAAUUAUGUAAAAAUCUGUUGUGAUAUCUCCUAAGUUUCAGGUGUCAGACCUAUCAUUCCUAUAAAAGAGUCCUAAAUUUUAGUUGAGGAAUCUGAGGUUUUUACAGGCUUCAUGGGAGACUCCGGCCCUUCUCUUUGCUUUGUGACAUGCACCUUGUCAAUGCCUAGAGUUAGUCAACUCUAGUUGACUAAAAAAGUUUUAAGUGAAAUAUCUGAAAUACUGUUAAUUCUUGUGACUUAGGACUCAGAUGCAGGCUUCCAGGACGUUUUGAUCAGUUCUGCAGCUACAGAUAAGGUAGAUUUUUUUGUUUGUUAGGUUUUUUUUUGUUUGUUUUUCCUUUUCCUCUGAGAUUGGAGAAAUCUUUGGCAUCAGCUUUCUUUUUCCUAGGCAUUACCUUGAGCAUUAGCCUGCAUGGUGGUCAGGCAAGACCAGACUUUGAGCUACAGUAAACUCAGACAUUCAGUGUGAAUAAAUACCAGAUACCAUAAACCAGAGAGGAGUGUAUAAGCAAAUAGUUUUGGGUGCUAAAGUAAGGUGUACAACUCAAAAAGUAGAUUUCUGGUCCCAGCUCUUGCUGUGGAAACUUCUUUAGAAUUUUUAACCCACUGGCUAAUAAGAGGGUGAGAAAUUGAGGAUUACUCAAUUAAUUGAUUUCCCAGGAUUAUCAAAAAAAUUACUCCUAAUACUCCUUGCUGUAUAUUCUUUUCCCCUAAUGAUGCCACUCAAGUUUCUUGCAAUGCAGUGCAGAAAAGGCAGCAUGUUGUCCAUGGCAGUUUGUCCAUCCUAUCAGGCUCAUUCAUGCUAUUCUCUUGGAUAUGUGGGUUGGACUUCCCUCAAGUUAAGGAUUCAGUAGUAUUUAAUGCAAUGUUCCCUACCUGUUCUGCCACGGAAAACAUCUACUUCUGCUGCCUCAACUGUACAGAAAUAGUUCCCUUCCUUACUUUGCAAGUGCAUUGAAUACCUCUGCUAGAGUGGGGUCUUCAGCAGGUGUGGAGAGUGUGCUAGGCACCAACGUGCAUACAAUGGGCAUAUGCUGAAGACACAGGAGCCUAGAAGAACGCUUAAUUAGGAGGCAUCUAACAAAGUUGAUAUGCCUCGAAAUUAAGUGACAGAAGGAUGCUGCCUUUGAAUUUGAUAGGAAGUUUCAGUUCCUAGAGAGGCACUUAUCUGAUUCUUUGAAGAAUUAAUUGCAAGUUUAGCUUUGGAGUUCUUCUGCCCUCUGAACCCUAAGUAUAGAAAUAAAAGCUUUUUCUUUACUUAUGCCUUUACUAACAGCACUCUGAUGGUUCAGUUUGUCCUCUAAGGAGCCUCAAGGCUUCACUUAUGCUGUGGCAGUCUGGUUUGACAUGUUUGUCAACUUAAACAUCAGCAUGCCACUGCAGCAGAACGCUGGUGAUUUAGGUGUAAAAUAAAAUUAAGAUAAAAAUAGUGCAGGGAAAUUUCACAUAAUGUGAGAGACCCUAUUCUGGCAUAAUUCCAUGCCCUUCAGAAUAUCCUUCCAUUAAACCGAUUGCAAAGCUUAUAUGCACUAGAAAUUGAAAGGCAAUGUGGGUUUAUCACGUAAUCUUCAAUAUUAGUUUGUCCUUUUUUAUUAUUAUGUGGAACACUUUAGUGGAGUCUCUUCAGAGAUGAUAUAAUUUCAUUCUUGGUUUUCCAUUUUAGAGUUGUCAGUGGAACAAGUAUUCUUCAUAGAUCAUUUUGACCUGAGGUCUCCUCAUCAACAAUGAGGACCAAACUCUGAAAUAUGUUCAGCUUUCUUUUGAAUGUGUCAUGAAUUUGCUAAUCUUCAGUUCACCCUCUAUGCCACUUGGAUAAAUUAUAAGCCGAGAGAUCCUGUAAAUGAUGAGCAGCAUCUCUAUUUCUCUCUCUUUUUUAGUACUUUUUCCUUGCAGCAGAGAUUUGUUUCAUGCACAAUCAUUUUAAUUUGUCAGAAUAUGCGUUAGGCAUUUUGAGUAA